rnacentral:misc_RNA from 1 species
AACGGUCUAUACCUGCGGUACCUGCGGAAGGAUCAUCAAAAAAAAAAGAGAAGAGGGGUGAAAGUUUCUUCUUCACCCUCUCUUUUUUUAUUAAUUUUUUCUUUCUUUUUCCCCCUUUUUCCAUUAUACUCCUUCCUUAGGAGUUGUAAUUUAGAGAAAAAGGGGGUGAAGAAAAGAAACUUGUCGACUUCUUGUUGUCCCCUUUUUUAGAAGAGUUUCUUUUAAAAAACGGGGUAGACC